GAAUUUAAACCUCUUCCAGAGUAUCAAUUGGAGGGCAAGUCUGGUGCCAGCAGCCGCGGUAAUUCCAGCUCCAAUAGCGUAUAUUAAAAUUGUUGCAGUUAAAAAGCUCGUAGUUGAAUUCUGCUGCAUUACAUAUCUCUUGUUUGAGUUUGUUUUUGUGGCUUAUUUCGGUUUGAUUUUUUCUUUCCGGAUGAUUACUUUGAGAAAAUUAGAGUGCUCAAAGCAGGCUUUUGCCUUGAAUAGUUUAGCAUGGAAUAAUAAAGUAGGACUUUGGUUCUAUUUUGUUGGUUUUAGGUACCAAAGUAAUGGUUAAUAGGAACAGUUGGGGGCAUUCGUAUUUAACUGUCAGAGGUGAAAUUCUUAGAUUUGUUAAAGACGAACUACUGCGAAAGCAUUUGCCAAGGAUGUUUUCAUUAAUCAAGAACGAAAGUUAGGGGAUCGAAGACGAUCAGAUACCGU
rnacentral:rRNA from 1 species